UGAAUCUAGUAACCUAUUGGUAAUUGGUAGCUUUAGACGUUUCGUCAGUACAACCAACAGCAGUUGCAGUAAAUGUUUUAUGUGUACCGAUUUAAGUUACGAUUGCGCUAUUUGAAGUGGUUGCCGAUAUUCCCAACCUGGUUAUUUGAGCGGGUUUGUCAGCUAACCUCAUAACAAACAGACACUUGUAUUUGGUAGUGUGGAAACAAAAUUUAAUAGAAAUAAACUAUUGUCGAAAAUAAUAUACAAGCAAUAAGAAAACAAUUCUUGCAAGUUGGUACGCUGUCUACUUGUUUACUUGCAUGUGUCGUAAAUGAACAUUAAUCUUUUCAAAUUAUGAACAUUUGAACUUGACUGCCAGUUGCUUUGAUGUAUGCAUUGUUUGUUAUACUGAUCUCUGGAAGAAGGAACUAUAACACAACAGUGUACUCACUUUGACCAUUCGAAUGGAAACAAACAGAUACGACGCGUUUUGCGUUGUUACAGUGCAGGCAAGUUUGCUGUAUGUAUUUACCGUCGGUUGUUCAAAUAUUAUACGAGUAUUAAUGGUUUACAAUUCUUUGAGAUAAACUGAAAUUCAUUUCUUCGACACAGUGUUUGGAAAUUGUGGAGAUGGGAUAGUUAAAAGCCAGUUAACGAGAGGUGCAACCGCAUGUUGUUUUGUUGUUCUCCGAUUGGACUGAAAUUUUCAGCGUUUGGUUGUUUAUUCAAGGAGUACGACGGGAAUAACGAGCUUUGUACUAAUAGAGGAACUGACCGACCCUUCCAAUUUUGAACCCGACGUGCACGCACUUUCCCGAGGUUAGUGGUGCGAUCUUCGAUAUAUGAACUCACGAAAGCGCGCCAGGUGCCAACAUGUUUGAAACCUCAUCAUAUUUGCAGUGACGGGAUACAAGCGAAUCGUGGAGGUUAAGAAAUUUCGGUUACCUUACGUAUCGUACGACUCUACGCGUUUCUGCUCAUGAACACCUUAAUUUACCCAUUCACGAAUCAAUGAGUAGCUUUAUUUCGUAAGACGUUAAACUUUAUUCGGAAACUGUAAGCCGACCGCAAUUUUAGAGGAUAUAAGAUCUACAACGCGUUUUUCUCUUGUAAUAUAAUUUGGAAUGAGCUAAGUAUCCUAAUGAAUUCAAAAACUGGCAAAUUUACAUGCAUCCAAAGCCCUUAAAAUUCAAAAACAAAAAAUUGCAUCCAACAAGAUUUAAAAAUUAUUGAAUAAAAAAAAAAUUCAAGUGUAUCAACAUUUGUCCAAAAGCUAGGAAAAUCAUAAAAAUAAUAGGGUUAAAUAUGGUUAAAUGACCGUAACCGAUCAGAACUCUUCAUGACAGACGAAGCACUUAGAUAUUUGUCGCGUGUGAAUGAUAGAUGAUCAAACUCUAUUGUAAAACUAUCAAUUCGAUCUUGUGAAAGUUAGCGUGUUCAAAGAUUUAUAGUAGCAUAUGAAUAUAGUAAAACCUACGACACGCUGAACCGCAUCCGAGCCAAUCUCCGCUUUUCAACCACAUCAAGAAGUUCAAUUUACUACCCCAUGAAAACCAAAAAAAUCUGUAUUAUUUCCAGAAAAUCUGCAAUCUGCAUGCAGAUAUCUGUAUGAAAAAUACGCAAGAAAUCUGUAUA